ACACGUAAGUUGCGAGCGUUGUUCGGAAUUAUUGGGCGUAAAGGGCAUGCAGGCGGCUGCGUAAGCCUGAUGUGAAAUGCCGGGGCUCAACCCCGGAACUGCAUUGGGAACUACGCGGCUAGAGUUACUGAGGGGCAGCCGGAAUUCCAGGUGUAGGGGUGAAAUCUGUAGAUAUCUGGGAGAACACCGAUGGCGAAGGCAGGCUGCCAGCAGAUAACUGACGCUGAGGUGCGAAGGUGCGGGGAGCGAACAGGAUUAGAUACCCUGGUAGUCCGCACAGUAAACGAUGUACACUAGGUGUCUGGCCAUGAGGCUGGGUGCCAAAGCGAACGUGAUAAGUAUUCCACCUGGGGAGUACGCCGGCAACGGUGAAACUCAAAUGAAUUGGCGGGG
rnacentral:rRNA from 1 species